GACGAACGCUGGCGGCGUGCUUAACACAUGCAAGUCGAACGGAAAGGCCCUGCUUUUGUGGGGUGCUCGAGUGGCGAACGGGUGAGUAACACGUGAGUAACCUGCCCUUGACUUUGGGAUAACUUCAGGAAACUGGGGCUAAUACCGGAUAGGAGCUCCUGCUGCAUGGUGGGGGUUGGAAAGUUUCGGCGGUUGGGGAUGGACUCGCGGCUUAUCAGCUUGUUGGUGGGGUAGUGGCUUACCAAGGCUUUGACGGGUAGCCGGCCUGAGAGGGUGACCGGCCACAUUGGGACUGAGAUACGGCCCAGACUCCUACGGGAGGAAGCAGUGGGGAAUAUUGCAAAAUGGGCGGAAGCCGGAUGCAGCAACGCCGCGUGCGGGAUGACGGCCGUCGGGUUGUAAACCGCUUUCGCCUGUGACGAAGCGUGAGUGACGGUAAUGGGUAAAGAAGCACCGGCUAACUACGUG
rnacentral:rRNA from 1 species